UACAGAGGGUGCGAGCGUUGUUCGGAAUUAUUGGGCGUAAAGAGCUCGUAGGUCGUUUGUUACGUCGGAUGUGAAAACCUGAGGCUCAACCUCAGGCCUGCAUUCGAUACGGGCAAACUAGAGUUUGGUAGGGGAGACUGGAAUUCCUGGUGUAGCGGUGGAAUGCGCAGAUAUCAGGAGGAACACCAAUGGCGAAGGCAGGUCUCUGGGCCAAUACUGACACUGAGGAGCGAAAGUCUGGGGAGCGAACAGG
rnacentral:rRNA from 1 species